GGGGGGGGGGUCAGAUACAUUGAGUCCUUGAUGGUGAUGUAGCUCCACAAAAAGAAGUCCCAGGGUAUUAGAUCUGGCGAUUGUGGGGGUUGGAGCCAUUUUAGUGGAGUUUUAGUCAGCCCAUUACAGUGGUCCGAGCGAUGCAACUCCUUCCGUCAUGAUCAGCCAGUCCUGGAAUAGUCUGCAUGGAGAUGGGUGACUCAAAUUUUUACCAACUAUAACCUUUCAAGAACAGAGAAUAACACAUUUUCAUAAUAUGCUAGUGAAAGAUGCAAUGUCAGCAGUGAUGAAUGACUCGAGUGCGAAGAAGAAAAAAAUCUUGCGACGAAGCAAAGGUCGGGGGAAGAUCUGGAGACAAAUCUGUCAGGAAAUAUUACUGGAUAAAGCCGCAGUACUUCUGUUUUUUUUUUGCUGAGUGAUAAUAAAUGAUUGAGAAUAUUAUUUGUUAAG